UACAGAGGUCCCAAGCGUUGUUCGGAUUUAUUGGGCGUAAAGGGUGCGUAGGCGGCGGAGUAAGUUGGGUGUGAAAUCCCGGGCUCAACCUCGGAAUUGCAUUCAAUACUGCUUCGCUAGAGUACUGGAGAGGAGGCUGGAAUUUACGGUGUAGCAGUGAAAUGCGUAGAUAUCGUAAGGAAGGCCGGUGGCGAAAGCGAGCCUCUGGACAGUUACUGACGCUGAUGCACGAAGGCCAGGGAGCAAACCGGG
rnacentral:rRNA from 1 species